UAGCUUAGUCGGUAGAGCAUGAGACUCUUAAUCUCAGGAUUGUGGGUUUGAGCCCCAC
rnacentral:tRNA from 1 species